ensembl:snRNA U6 U6 spliceosomal RNA
GUGCUCACUUUGGCAGCGCAUAAACUAAAAUAGAAACCAUACAGAGAAGAUUAGCCUGGCCUCUGUUCAGGGAUCACAUGCAAAUUCCUGAAGCAGUCCAUAAAAGU